rnacentral:rRNA from 1 species
GACAGAGGAUGCAAGCGUUAUCCGGAAUGAUUGGGCGUAAAGCGUCUGUAGGUGGCUUUUUAAGUCCGCCGUCAAAUCCCAGGGCUCAACCCUGGACAGGCGGUGGAAACUACCAAGCUGGAGUACGGUAGGGGCAGAGGGAAUUUCCGGUGGAGCGGUGAAAGUGCGUAGAGAUCGGGAGGAACACCGGUGGCGAAGGCGGGGUCUCUGGGGCAUCUCCUGACGCUGAGGCGCGAAAGCGUGGGGAGCAAACGGG